CAUGAUGCUCACAGUCGCGGGUCACAUUUGAAAUUUAGCGAAGAACCUGGCAGCCAUGUUGGUUAAGAAGUGGACUGUACGUUAUUAUCAAUUGCAGUUUUUUAGAAGCCAAGCUGCGGUCUACACACAGAAGCAAAAGGUCCUCAUGUAAUUCACAAGGCUGAUGGACCUCAGUUCAUUCUAUGAGCAUCUGGACAGCCGUCUAUUCAGUGGUUCAGGUCAAAUGAGGGGGUUAAAGAAAUUACAUCCAUACUGGAACGUCUUCACAAGGAUGCAUCGAAUCAAAGGCAGUUGGGCAGCAGCACUGCAGAGCCUACCAGGGUACAUGAGGAAGAAUCCUGCAUUCCUGAAGAUGUGUGAGCCUACAGAUCCUGAAGACAACAUCAAGGGAAUGAUCACUGGAAGAUGAAGAUGAGAGGGAACCUCUUCCAGCUUCCUUCAACGAUGUCGACAUUGUAAUCAAGGAAAAACUCGUCAUCCGUCACCUGCGUGAUGCCCCCAGUGCUUUUGUGAACCUGAUGGGACUGCUGAACAUUCUGAACCUUGAAUGUCCAAAAGACUUGCAGUACACUUUUGAGCCUGUGAUCCAGAAAUCAGUCUCAGCUGAUCAUGAUGGAAGUUUCAGUUCUCGGAAUGCAUCAGGAGGAGCUAUGAGCGAGGAUAAGCAGGUGUAUCUUUUGUGGAAGUCUUAUCAUCUGUGACAUAUAAAAGAGACCAAGCUGGUUUGUACAAAUCAUGACGGGAGGAGAGCUCCAUUUAUGUGUUGCUUUUGUAUUCACAACUUGUUGUAGUUAUUAAAGAUGAAUUAUGCAAUCAGAGACUCUAACCUUCACAUUUUGUGGGCGUGAUAAUAAUAAAUGAAGAAUCAUUUAUUAUUUGGAGCUGAAGUCAUUUUUUAAAAAAACCCUCCAAAGCAAGGAUGUCUCAUUUUGUUAAAUGCUUUUGUCCUUGAUUUCUCUCUCCUCCUUAUUCCUCUGUAUUUUGUUGUACAACAUUUUGUGACUUUAUGGCUAUGAAAAGACCUCUAUAAACAAACUUUACUAAGUAACUUACUUACCCCUCACAUCUUACGUAGAAGGGAUUAAGUGUGGGAAGCAGGCACAGAAAGGAAUUCAUGAUGAAAAACAGAAAUGAAAAGAGAGGUUUGUGAAUUGUAUCAAUUUUAGAGUAUCUGUCUAUCUUGAUUGUAUUGUAUUUAAUUUUUUUUUAAUGCUUUCUUAUAAUAGAUGUGCAUAAUGCCUGUCUGCUGUCUGGUCUCAUGUGUAUUUUUGCUGCUCCAACAGUUAAUAAGGUGGGGAUCAAUAAAAAUGCAUUGAUUGUACUACAGCUUUUAUAGGCUUAUAAAUUAUGCCUAAGCAAUUAAGAUAAAAUGCAUGAGCCAUUGAUGUGCUCAUAAAAUAUGGACCAAUUAAAAGCUUUGUAUUGUGCUACAUGCUCCAAUAAAAUCA